CAGUUCGGUCCCUAUCCGGCGCGGGCGUAGGAUAUUUGAGAGGAGCUGCCCCUAGUACGAGAGGACCGGGGUGGACGGACCACUGGUGUAUCAGCUGUCGACCAACGGCAUAGCUGAGUAGCCAAGUCUGGACGGGAUAAACGCUGAAGGCAUCUAAGCGUGAAGCCCCCCUCAAGAUGAGAUAUCCCAUUCCUUCAAGGAAAUAAGAUCCCUUAUAGACGAUAAGGUAGAUAGGUUCAAGGUGUAAGUGCGGUAACGCAUUCAGCUGAUGAAUACUAAUAGAUCGAAGGUUUAUUCU
rnacentral:rRNA from 1 species